rnacentral:rRNA from 1 species
UACGUAGGGUGCGAGCGUUGUCCGGAAUUAUUGGGCGUAAAGAGCUCGUAGGCGGUCUGUUGCGUCGGCUGUGAAAACCCGGGGCUCAACCCCGGGCCUGCAGCCGAUACGGGCAGACUAGAGUUCGGCAGGGGAGACUGGAAUUCCUGGUGUAGCGGUGAAAUGCGCAGAUAUCAGGAGGAACACCGGUGGCGAAGGCGGGCCUCUGGGCCGAUACUGACGCUGAGGAGCGAAAGCGUGGGGAGCGAACAGG